UUUGUUCUCAUAAUUAAGUAUUAACAAGAAAGCUUUAUGAAUGGGUAAGUGGUGAACAUAAAUUCCUCUUGAAAGCUUUAAUAUGUCCUGAUUUAACAAUUUACAAAAUGAAUAAUUAAUAAGUGAUGUCCGAAUUUAUUCAAAUAAUAAUCUCGUCUGAAUAAGAGCUUGAACCAUAAUCCCUUAUUGUCCUUUGUAUUUUUCAGUGAUUUUGCUAGUCUUCAUCGCCACCAUUGUCGUCUUCCUGGUGCUAGUAUGUGCUCUACUCUUUGUUAUCAGGGCUCAGAGGACUCAACACAACCUGCUUAAGAGUCAGGGGUCAGGUAACGCCAGCACAGUUGCUAUGAGCCAACAUCUACCAAGUGGAAAAGGAGAUGAGGAACCCAACAAAACAAAUGAGGGCAUUUAUGCUAACACCAC